rnacentral:rRNA from 1 species
CCUACGGGCGGCAGCAGUGAGGAAUAUUGGUCAAUGGGCGCGAGCCUGAACCAGCCAAGUAGCGUGAAGGAUGACUGCCCUACGGGUUGUAAACUUCUUUUAUAAAGGAAUAAAGUGAGGCACGUGUGCCUUUUUGUAUGUACGUUAUGAAUAAGGAUCGGCUAACGCCGUGCCAGCAGCCGCGGUAAUACGGAGGAUCCGAGCGUUAUCCGGAUUUAGUGGGUUUCCAGGGAGCGUAGAUGGGUUUUUAAGUCCGUGGUGAACGUUUGCGGCUCAACCGUAAAAUUGCAUUUUAUACUGGCAGCCUUCCGUUCAGUUGCGGUAGGCGGCUUUCGUUGUGUAGCGGUCAAAUUCUUAGCUAUCAC